rnacentral:lncRNA from 1 species
AUUGCUGACCGCCUCGUAUUCAAACUGUACGAAGACGACGCCGAUUGACUACUCCGUCGGUCGUCCAUUUUCUUAUGCAUACUACAACGGAAUGAACCUGGAUUUGUCGUCGGCGAGCAAAUACACGUCAUCUUCUUCUGAGAAGACAUAGAUUUGUACUGCCGGUUCGUAGUACUCUCCCGGUUCAUUACAGAAAUAGACCGGCUCGGGAAGUACUCAUACGGUCCAGAGAGAACCGUAUAGAUGAAGCAGAAGACGACGACGUCCUAGAGGUCGACGAAUAAAAUCUUCCGGCAGGUGAAAGUGAACGUAGCACUGGUCCAGUCGAUCUCCGAGCAGAAACCGCCAUUUUUUUCUGCUUUAACAGUUAUAAGAGGGAGGAAUCUAGAGAGGAGUGUCUUUAAGCCGUGUUUGGCUGUUUGAUUUGGUAAACCAUAGUUUCACUUGAGCACGAGACUCUAACCAACUGAGUGGAAGCUUUGGGAUUGAUAAUAAUGAUCGUCAAAUAUUUUAUGAUCUUCCUUCAUGAUUAAAUUCUGGAUUUAGAUCGCGUCAUCUUCUUCUGAGAAGACAUAGAUUUGUACUGCCGGUUCGUAGUACUCUCCCGGUUCAUAACAGAAAUAGACCGGCUCGGGGAAGUACUGAUCUCCCGGUCCAGAGAGAACCGUAUUGAUGAAGCAGAAGACGACCUCGUCGUA